rnacentral:rRNA from 1 species
GGGUCAGUAGGUUGGUCGUGCCACCGGUACGUACUGGUCUCACUGAUUCCUCCUUCCUGAAGAACCGUAAUGCCAUUAAUUUGGUGUUGCGGGGAAACAGGACUGUUACUUUGAAAAAAUUAGAGUGUUUCAAGCAAGCUAACGCUUGAAUACAUUAGCAUGGAGUAAUGAAAUAGGACGAUCGAUCCUAUUUUGUUGGUUUCUAGGAUUGACGUA